CCGCCAGGCCAGAGGCAGGAGCCGCGGAGCGAGCGGAGAGCGGAGGUGGCGGCGGGGCCGGGCGCUGCAGGUCCCCUCGCCGCCCGCUGAGCUCUCCAACCCUGGGCCCGGCGAGGCGGGCGGCGCCCAGUGUAAUGCGGAGAAUGUGAGAGGCAGCGCAGGGCGGUGGGGAGGAGGGGGCGCGAGAGAGGGCGGCGGCAGGAUAGACGGAGAGACAGCGGGAGAGAGAAAGGACAGGGAACAGGGAGCAGGUGGAAGAAAAGAGAAGAGAUAAAAGGAGAGGCAGGGACAGGAAAGGGGGGGCAGAAAGGAGUGAGAGAACACGCGGCACGGGCGGCGGCGCAGGCGAGGAGGGGGACGGCUUCUUCGGGUGGGAGCGCCGGAAGCCAGAGUUGGGCGCCCCGGCCGGGGUUCGGGAGGCGAGUGCGGCCGGGCCGGACAUGGUGGGGGAGCGGGGAAGCCGGAGGGUCCCCCUCUGGAAGCGGCAGGGGACCUGAGGCGGGCGGGGAAAGGGACGCAGGGCCAGUCCAUAGGCCCCGCGGGCCGCGCUCCGGGGGCUCCGGCGGGCCGGGGCAAGGGGGCCUUUGUGAGCGCCCCAGGAGUGCGGAGCCGGGUGUGCGGCGGCGGGGAUGUGUGCGCGCCCGGGGCUGCGCGUGUGUGUGCGAGUGUGAGCGCCCGGGUGGGUGGGAGCGCGCGUUAGGGAUUCUGCUGGCAUCUCAGCGUGGAGAGCAGGAGGCAGGAGUGGGGCGCGCAGGGGAGCGCGAGGCCCUCCCGCGCACACGCACACGCCGCGCGCGCACACACAUACACACACGCACACGCCCUCCCUGCCUCGCUCGCUGCCGCUGCCACCAUCUCGGAGCCGAGCCCUGCGGAGCGGGAACCCGAGCGGGAGCGGGAACCGGAGUGGAGCAGAGCCAAGCCGGGGAAUGCGGAUCCGGAGCGGAGCGGCGCGCAAAGUGCGCGCCCGGGACGCCUCCUGUGCCCACAGGCCGUGAGGCUCCGCUGCCUACAGGCAAAGAGGGCUACUGAGUCAAUCCCAGGCUGACCCCAGCCCACUUGCAUUUCCCAAACGCCCGCCUGACCUGAGGUGGUCCUGCCCUUCCUCUCCGGCCUCCCGCACCCCCCAGGACUCAGGCUUGCCCGCCUCUCCACCUCGGAUCACUCUGGGAGUCUCU